AAAUCUGCCGUGGGCGAUUCAGCGCUGAACCUGCGGUGUAUGUACACCUUUUCCAUAUUUCGGAGCGGUCUCAUGCAUAGGAAUUCGCGCAAUGGUUUUCAUGACGGCGGGGACUUCUGGAGAGCGAGAUAUUUUUUGUGCAACGGAAAGAAGCGUGAAGAAGGAGCGGAGAUAUGAGAGCGGGACGGGCCGACGUCGUGGUAAGCAGACGAAAAUGACCAAGAGUGGGAUGGGAGUAGCGUUUUCGGGAACGGGAAUUAAGGACCGCUCGGUAAAACGCAAGUGGAAACUGGGAUGAGCAACUUGCUAGUGAGCAAGCGAUCUGUCAGUGGACAGCACCAGCGGGGUCUCCGUAUGUCCCUACUCGCCUCUCUGGCUUCGUCCAGGAUCCGAGCAACGGAUACUUUUUCCUGUCCAUUGACCGAAAG
rnacentral:lncRNA from 1 species